AGUGAACGCUGGCGGUAGGCCUAACACAUGCAAGUCGAACGGCAGCACAGUAAGAGCUUGCUCUUACGGGUGGCGAGUGGCGGACGGGUGAGGAAUACAUCGGAAUCUACUUUUUCGUGGGGGAUAACGUAGGGAAACUUCCGCUAAUACCGCAUACGACCUACGGGUGAAAGCAGGGGAUCUUCAGACCUUGCGCGAUUGAAUGAGCCGAUGUCGGAUUAGCUAGUUGGCGGGGUAAAGGCCCACCAAGGCGACGAUCCGUAGCUGGUCUGAGAGGAUGAUCAGCCACACUGGAACUGAGACACGGUCCAGACUCCUACGGGAGGCAGCAGUGGGGAAUAUUGGACAAUGGGCGCAAGCCUGAUCCAGCCAUACCGCGUGGGUGAAGAAGGCCUUCGGGUUGUAAAGCCCUUUUGUUGGGAAAGAAAAGCAGCAGGUGAAUACCCCGCUGUUCUGACGGUACCCAAAGAAUAAGCACCGGCUAACUUCGUG
rnacentral:rRNA from 1 species